rnacentral:rRNA from 1 species
CACGUAGGCGGGAACUUAAGUCAGGUGUGAAAGACCGGGGCUCAACUCCGGGAUUGCACUUGAAACUGGGUUUCUUGAGGGCAGGAGAGGAAAGCAGAAUUCCUGGUGUAGCGGUGAAAUGCGUAGAAAUCAGGAGGAAUACCAGUGGCGAAGGCGGCUUUCUGGACUGACCCUGACGCUGAGGUGCGAAAGCGUGGGUAGCAAACA